CCUACGGGUGGCAGCAGUAGGGAAUCUUUCACAAUGGGCGAAAGCCUGAUGGAGCAAAGCCGCGUGCAGGAUGAAGGCCUUCGGGUUGGUAACUGCUUUUAUAAGCGAGAAAUCUGAUGGUAACUUAUGAAUAAGGAUCGGCUAACUACGUGCCAGCAGCCGCGGACAUACGUAGGACCCGAGCAUUAUCCGGAGUGACUGGGUGUAAAGAGUUGCGUAGGUGGCAUAAGAAGUAGCUAGGGAAAUCUGGUGGCUCAACCAUUCAGACUAUUAGCGAAACUGUUAGGCUCGAGACCGUUAGGGGUAACUGGAAUGUCUAGUGUAGGAGUGAAAUGCGUAGAUAUUA
rnacentral:rRNA from 1 species